rnacentral:pre_miRNA from 1 species
AGUGCAAUUGCUAGAUCACAUGGUUGUUGUAUUUUUAGUGUUUUAAGGAAAUGAUCAUAGUGCUUUCCAGAGACUGAACCAUUUUACAUUCCACCAGCCAU